rnacentral:lncRNA from 1 species
GCAGCUUUCCAUUGGAAAGGCUCCCUCGGAUGUACUCAGAGGAGUCCCGGGCACAGUCCUGUGCCUGAACAGUCAGCCCAUUUACACUCCGCUGGUUUCCCUGCUUCUUGUCAUUCUUGACCAUGCCCGAAAGCUGAGUUCUAAUUGCAAGUUUUGUCAUCUCUUCUCUGCUGGGCAUUUCAGGGUUAUAAUUGAAGAUCUGGCCUUGGAUUUGAAGCCUAUAGAGCAGUUUCAGAAAUGGAGGGACAUACUCUUCUACCUGCAACUGAGUCUGAAGGAUGUGCUGACCCCAGAUGGACCUGUGAGCCACCAGGAACAGCAUGCAGAGUGGCGCAGGCUGGCCAAGAGCCUCGCCCUCCAGCUCAGCCCAGCUGCGUGACAGGAGCAAGGAGUAUCCAGUGCUCAGCUGAUCAAGAUUCAAGUGAACUUGGCCCAGUAAAACUCAGAGCUCACAGGAUAAUCAUCCCCAGAUAGGGACAUUGUGUAUGGAGGAGCAGCAUGUACCCUGGACUGUUUCUGCGAAGGCAACAUAGAGGUCAUUCAGUGCAGUUCCCUGUGUCCCUCUGAAAACCCUGCAUGCUCAUUUGUGUCCUCAUGCUCCGGUGGGCAGGGUGGGCAUGGGGGAAGUGGCACCAUGGAGUGACUGUCUGCACCUUUCUGAAUUUGCUUGCAGAGCAGCACUGCAACAGGGAUGACGAGGAAGAAACAGAGUCCCUGGACUCCAGGUAACCGAGCAAGGUCAGGGCUGUAAGCCAGUGUGACGGGAGAGGGGUUGUGUGAAAGCCAAGACUCGGGGUCGGGAGUGGCCACAGAUUUCAGUCAGGGUGAGAAAAGCCUGCCGAUGGCCCUGGUGUCAUUCACCCUGCCAAAGGCACCAUGGCCUUCACCAAGGCCCUGUGUGUCCUCUGGGGAUUUGCAGAGGGCAUCUGUGCAGGGAGAACUAAGCAGUCUGGGGGCAUUAUUGUCCUUAAAGAAGCCUCUGAGAGGUUAAAGUCAGGAUAACAUGC